GAGCUGGGGAAUGCAUGGGGUGUGGUAGUUUUUGGGGUUUUGGUUUCGUUUUUGUUUUCUUUGUAGUUUUGGUUUUGUUUUCUUUGUAGUUUUGGUUGCCAGUUUGACCAUUGGUUUUGUUCCUGAAGAUUUCUCUUGUUUUGGGACCAAUAAAAGGCUACGUCUACUUGUUCUUUCAGAUAUUGCAAGUCUCCACCAUCCCUCCACUGAAGGCUCUGGCUCUCUCAGAUAUUUUGAAAACUUUUGGAAUCCUCUCAUGGCAACCCUGACUGACUCCAAUAUGUACAGAGCAGGAGAAGCCUGUGUAGCACACGCCGCAGGGCCUGAACAUGAACCUUUGUGUUGCAAGAAUAACUGGGGGACAUACAGACACAGGAGGGGCUGUAGAACCCAGGAUGCAGGUGUGCCGGGGGCAGAGUCCUUGUCGGAGACAUGGACGCUGGGGGCAGUUGGUGUGCGGUGUGAUACUGUGACCGCUGGGGGUAAUUGGGGACGGCUGCUUCCUGCUAGUUUAAUUAUUGGUGCCCUCAUCGCAGGGCUGCCCGUGUGGAGUGUGCUGGGCAGCGGACUGACAGGGCUGAGUAGUGGGGGAGAGAGAUGUGUAUGUCCUGUGGGUUUGUGUUCUGGUUGUGUGUGUUUGUGUUCUGGUUGUGUAUGAAGUUUGAAGUGGGGCCUGACUCCGUGAGUACCGGUUAGCGUUAGCUGAGAGCCUGUGAAGCUCCACUCUCUGACCCCACAAUAAUGCUGCGUCACUGGGCCCUCUGCCCAGCACCAGCCCCUCUCCUGGAGCCCCUCUCCUGGAGGAACACUCCCCAGCCCCAGCCCCUCUCCUGGAGGAACACUCCCCAGCCCCUCUCCUGGAGCCCCUCUCCUGGAGGAACACUCCCCAGCACCAGACCUUCUCCUGGAGGAACACUCCCCAGCACCAGCCCCUCUCCUGGAGGAACCCUCCCAGAGUUAAACGCCCUUCUGAGCCCAGCCGCGCAGAACGUGCAGGCACAGAACCGGCCGCUCUGAUCGGCUCCAUGGGUGAAGUCCCAGGCCCAGAAUCGACGAACGUCCUGAGCCAAAUUCACCCUGCACUUCCUAUUUAACAGUGCGAUGAGUUCAUCUUGGGCUUCGCCAGAUUCACAAAGCUCCAUUUUAUGAAGACUAAGACUCAGGGCCAGAUUUACUAGAACAUUGCGGCUGCUUUUUUCAAACUCAAAAGUAGUUACUGCAAGGUCACAGAAUCUACAUCACAUUUUCUGCACGCUGCAGUGUCACUGCUGUUUGGCUGUUCGCAGAGUGAUUUUCUCUGUCUCUUUCUGAAACGGCUCAUUUCUUCCUCCUCAGCUUCAAUCUCACCAGCACUUAUCAGCCGCUGUAAAAAUACUCGAUUCCUUAUUUUCAUUCAGGAAGAAUCUUUUUCCAUGAAGUGCACAGCUUUCCACUUCCAAUCAUCGGCCUUUUUGGGUAACUGCGUUGUUGAGACGUGGUGCCGUUGACCCAUAAGUGUCCGAAAAAGGCGGAUGAUGGCCGUGAAGUGCGUGGAUAGGGAGCUGCUCUGGCCAAUCACGCGUGGUGGGAGAGGCACUGCUAUUGGCUCCUAAAUUGCUUUUGCAAAUAUACAGCUAGAUCCAGAUAUGUACAGAUAUAACUUCAAAAAUGUAAGCUAGGUAGGUCUG